rnacentral:rRNA from 1 species
GCCAAUCUACCCUUGGGAUGGGGAUAACCCCGGGAAACUGGGGAUAAUACCCAAUAGGUGGGGGUUCUGGAAAUGUCUCUCACUGAAACGCUCUGGCGCCUAAGGAUGAGGCUGCGGCCGAUUAGGUAGUUGGUGAGGUAAAGGCUAACCAAGCCGAAGAUGGGUACGGGCCCUGAGAGGGGGAGCCCGGAGAUGGGGACUGAGACAAGGCCCCAGGCCCUACGGGGCGCAGCAGGUGCGAAACUUCCGCAAUGCGUGAAAGCGCGACGGAGUGACUCCCAGUGCCGAUGGUCUAACGACCGUCGGCUUUUCUGGAAUGUAGAAAGUUCCAGGUAAUAAGGGCCGGGUAAGACUGGUGCCAGCCGCCGCGGUAACACCAGCGGCCCGAGUGGUAGCCGAUUUUAUUGGGCCUAAAGCGCCCGUAGCCGGGCUGGCAAGUCCUUUGUGAAAUCGGACGGCUUAACUGUUCGGCUUGCAAGGGAAACUGUCGGUCUUGGGGCUGGUAGGCGUCGAGGGUACUCCAGGGGUAGCGGUGAAAUGCUAUAAUCCUUGGUGGACCGCCAGUGGCGAAAGCGCUCGACGAGACCAGACCCGACGGUGAGGGACGAAGGCCAGGGGCGCGAACCGGAUUAGAUACCCGGGUAGUCCUGGCUGCAAAGUAUGUGGGCUAGGUGCUGGGCGUUCCUCGAGAGCGUCCGGUGCCGAAGGAAAGCCAUUAAGCCCACCGCCUGGGAAGUACGGUCGCAAGACUGAACUUAAAGAAAUUGGCGGGGG